AGUGAACGCUGGCGGUAGGCCUAACACAUGCAAGUCGAACGGCAGCACAGUAAGAGCUUGCUCUUACGGGUGGCGAGUGGCGGACGGGUGAGGAAUACAUCGGAAUCUACUUUUUCGUGGGGGAUAACGUAGGGAAACUUACGCUAAUACCGCAUACGACCUACGGGUGAAAGCAGGGGAUCUUCGGACCUUGCGCGAUUGAAUGAGCCGAUGUCGGAUUAGCUAGUUGGCGGGGUAAAGGCCCACCAAGGCGACGAUCCGUAGCUGGUCUGAGAGGAUGAUCAGCCACACUGGAACUGAGACACGGUCCAGACUCCUACGGGAGGCAGCAGUGGGGAAUAUUGGUCAAUGGGCGCAAGCCUGAUCCAGCCAUACCGCGUGGGUGAAGAGGGCCUUCGGGUUGUAAAGCCCUUUUGUUGGGAAAGAAAAGCAGCAGGUUAAUACCCCGCUGUUCUGACGGUACCCAAAGAAUAAGCACCGGCUAACUUCGUG
rnacentral:rRNA from 1 species